rnacentral:rRNA from 1 species
CACCGGAGCCACAAGUGGCGACCAUAUUUAUUGGGUCUAAAGCGUCUGUAGCAGGUUAUGUAAAUCUUUUGUGAAAUUGUUGCGCUUAACGUAACAGCGAGCGAGAGAGACUGCACAACUAGGAACCGGGAGGGGACAGAGGUAUUUUGUGGGGAGCGGUAAAAUGCUAUAAUCCACGAAGGACCACCUGUGGCGAAGGCGUCUGUCUAGAACGGGUUCGACUGUGGAGGACGAAAGCUGAGGGAGCGAUCGG